UACAGAGGUCUCAAGCGUUGUUCGGAUUCAUUGGGCGUAAAGGGUGCGUAGGUGGCGCCGUAAGUCAGGUGUGAAAUCUCGGGGCUCAACCCCGAAACUGCACUUGAUACUGCGGUGCUCGAGUACUGGAGAGGAGAUUGGAAUUUACGGUGUAGCAGUGAAAUGCGUAGAUAUCGUAAGGAAGGCCAGUGGCGAAGGCGGGUCUCUGGGCCGAUACUGACGCUGAGGAGCGAAAGCGUGGGGAGCGAACAGG
rnacentral:rRNA from 1 species